GAUGAACGCUGGCGGCGUGCCUAACACAUGCAAGUCGAGCGAAGCACUUACUUUAGAUUUCUUCGGAAUGACGAAGUUUGUGACUGAGCGGCGGACGGGUGAGUAACGCGUGGGCAACCUGCCCUGUACAGGGGGAUAACAGUUAGAAAUGACUGCUAAUACCGCAUAAGCCCACAGCUUCGCAUGAAGCAGUGGGAAAAACUCCGGUGGUACAGGAUGGGCCCGCGUCUGAUUAGCUAGUUGGUAAGGUAACGGCUUACCAAGGCGACGAUCAGUAGCCGGCCCGGGAGGGGGACCCGCCACCUUUGGAAUGAGACCCCGCCCCAAACCCUACGGGAAGCAGGCGGGGGGAAUUUUUCCACAUGGGGGAAACCCUGAUGCAGCGACGCCGCGUGAGCGAUGAAGUAUUUCGGUAUGUAAAGCUCUAUCAGCAGGGAAGAAAGUGACGGUACCUGACUAAGAAGCCCCGGCUAACUACGUG
rnacentral:rRNA from 1 species